GAUCCAGUGCGAUGCUGGUGGGAAAACCUGACGUUGCCCAUCAAGGAAUCUUAGUGCACUCAAGAGUUACUGAUGUCGACUUUAAAGGGCAGAUUUGUGCUAUGGUCUCCACGCAAAAACCCCCUGUAACUAUUCCUGAAAAGACCUGCCUUGCUAAAUUAGUGCCUUUUAAGUCUUCUGUCCCCAGGAUAGAACAACCAACUCAUGAAGAUAAUGGCAGUGGAUCUAUGGGACUUCCACAGGCCUUCUGGACUGCAGACAUCUCUGACCAAAGGCCACAGAUGACACGUACCCUGAUCCUGCCGAACGCCCGUCCACCCCGGACUCAGCUUUGAGGUUUGAUUGAUACAGGUGCUGAUGUAACCAUCAUCUCCUUCUCUGC